rnacentral:lncRNA from 1 species
UUAGCUACAAAAUUUAUUUGUUCACAUAUGAGGUAUUUAUAUAAUAACUAAAUAGUAAAUAAACUCCUAACCCAAUUUAUUUUCGAACCCAUCUCUGUCUCUUUUCUCUCUUUAUUUCAUCUAUAUAUUUCCACGUGGCCUCCUCUUCUCCUGCUCUCUCACUAGCUACUCUCCAGAAUUGCUCUGUUCCUUAUCUUAAUCGAUUGGUGCUCUAGAUUGCAUUGACUUCACACGUUGUUACUGCAAAAUUGCUCUUCAGCUCGCAUAAAUCGAACUCCAAUUUGAGGAUAUUUAACUGCAAAACAAAAGCAUCAAUAUGGAGAUUGUAACUCCCAAUAGCAAACCCAAGGUAAAAGUGUUUGAUUUUGAGGCAUGCUAAAUACACUGUCUAUUUAGCUAAUAAGUUCGCUAAACUGAGAUAUUCUUUCACUGUCGUUUUAUUCGGUGGUUUCUUGUGAAGUCUCUCAGUCAAAAAAUAAAUAGCUAUUUUUUUUGUGGUAAUUGUGGAUUUUAGGUGGUUGUAGUGACAGGAUCGAGAUUUUGGUGCUGAAAUGGAUCUUGAAUCCGUACUGGGUGAUUUGUAUGGGCGAUAGAAUUUUUGGAUGGUGGUGGUGGUGGUUUGACCGUGGAGGAGGAGGUGGUGAUUUUGGAUGAUGGUUGUGACAAUUUGAGCUGGUGACCUGGGGGAAGGCAUAAUUGAUGCCGGUUGGCGCUCGACAGGUGUUAGCGAUCACGGUGGUGGUUCAGAUGCAAGUGCAGGUGAUUCUAGUGGUGGUGGUGCCUGUCGUGGUUGUGGUGCCGUCUUUAAGUUGUGUUGGUUUUGUAUAAACGUGAUUUGCGAUCAAUGAAUUGAGUUAAUUUGUGAGCAAAAAAUAAUAUGUAAUUUGUAAAAUAGAUAAUUUUUAUAUUGAUGCAAUGACUUGUGAUAUGUGAAUUGAUAACAUGUCACAUAUCUGUCUGCACUUAUUACAGGUUAUAUAUCACGGAUCACUAAUUUAUAUUCACAUGUCAAUAUUAAUUAGUCAUUGGUCAUAGUUCAUAGAUUACAGGUCAUCAUUCAUAGGUCACAUGUCAUAUUGUAUAGAUCACGGAUAUUCACAAGUCAUGAGUUAGGCUAAUAUUAAUUGGUCACUGAUCAUAUUGUAUAGUUCAUAAGUCACGGGUUAUUGUUUUUAGGUCAAUAUUAAUUGGUUACAUGUUAUAAUUCACAAGUCACAAGUCAUAAGUCAUAUUGUAUAAGUCACAGGUUAUAGUUCACAUGUCAAUAUUAAUUGAUUAAAAGUUAUAAUUCAUAAGUUACAUCUUAUAGUUCACAAGUCACACGUUACCAUUCACAAGUCAUAUGUCAUAUUGUAUAGGUCACUAAUGUUCACAAGUUACACAUUACAAUGCACAUGUGAAUAUUAAUUUGUCAAGGUUAUAGUUCACAGAUCACAAGUCACCUUUCAUAGGUAACAAAUCAAUGUCUAUAGAUCACAAAUCUAAGAAAACUCGUUACAAGCUAUUGAAACAGUAUCACAAGUAACAAAUCAAUGGCCACAAGUCAUGGAUCCAAUAGAAUUGGCCAUAAGCCAUUGGAUCAAUAUCGAUGGUAACAAUACACAGGUAAUUUAAAUUGAGGUUCAAUUGGAUAAUCCUUCAAUUCUCUCAAUGUUUUGGUAAAUUAGUAAACCAAACCAGUCGCUACCCUUGAGAUGUUGUACUCAUGGAUCUUGAGCAGGUACGACAGGAUAUGGUAAUCGCCACCUUCAAAUCUAAUUCGAAGCCCUUCUCCAACAAUUCAAUACAACAACUCUGCAAUGUUAGCCGCCACCUUCAAAAAUUAUG